ensembl:lncRNA novel transcript, antisense to TBC1D16
AAAAGGCGGAGGGAGCGCAUGUGGCCCAGGUCCACGCGGAACACGCCGCAAAUCUGCUCCAGGGCGCACACCCGCUGCGGCUCGUCCCAGCGUGGGGUCUGCAGGAGGCCGUUGCUGUCCGGGAACCGCAGGCCGGCGUCGGAGCUGGACGGGGGGCUGGUGGAACAGGUUAUGUGAUGAUCGCCACACUUCUCCCUGCCCACACUACCCAGAGGGGGACGGGGGUCAUGGGGGAGUCAUUUAAACCUACGCACCAAGCUUAAACACACAUACAGGCACGGCUGAAUAUGCCCUGUAAACACCUGUGAAUAAAUGAAUGUAUGAACCCCA